GUAGGGAAUAUUGCACAAUGGAGGAAACUCUGAUGCAGCGACGCCGCGUGAGUGAUGAAGGCCUUCGGGUCGUAAAGCUCUGUCGCAGGGGAAUAACACAAUGAAGGUACCCUGUAAGAAAGGAUCGGCUAACUUCGUGCCAGCAGCCGCGGUAAGACGAGGGAUCCUAGCGUGGUUCGGAAUCAUUGGGCGUAAAGCGGAUGUAGGUGGCUAUGUAAGUCAGAUGUGAAAGCCUGGGGCUCAACCCCAGAAGUGCAUUUGAUACUGCGUAGCUUGAGUGUCGGAGAGGUUACUAGAAUUGUUGGUGUAGUGGUGAAAUACGUAGAUAUCAACAGGAAUACCGGAGGCGAAGGCGGGUAACUGGCCGAACACUGACACUGAGAUCCGAAAGCGUGGGGAUCAAACAGGAUUAGAAACCCGGGUAGUCC
rnacentral:rRNA from 1 species